UACGGAGGGUGCAAGCGUUAUCCGGAUUUACUGGGUUUAAAGGGUGCGCAGGCGGAUAUGUAAGUCAGUGGUGAAAUCUCUAGGCUUAACCUGGAAAUUGCCGUUGAUACUAUAUAUCUUGAAUGCUGUGGAGGUAAGCGGAAUAUGUCAUGUAGCGGUGAAAUGCUUAGAUAUGACAUAGAACACCUAUUGCGAAGGCAGCUUACUACGCAGAUAUUGACGCUCAUGCACGAAAGCGUGGGGAUCAAACAGGAUUGAGAAACCCGAGGUAG
rnacentral:rRNA from 1 species